AAUUAAUUUUAAACAAACUAAGAAUGAUUUUUUUUUCCUUUUGUUUGUGCACUAAUACUUCUUUUAUUGAUUUUACAGAGUUUACUACUUGCCGGAACAGAUACAUCAGCUUUAACUUUAGAAUGGACAAUGGCUAAUUUAUUGAACCAUCCAGAAGUUAUAGAGAAGGCAAAAAAAGAAAUAGACACUCAUGUAGGAUCAAAUCGUCUUGUAGAGGAAUCUGACAUGUCAAAACUUCCUUACAUUCAAUGCAUUGUUUAUGAGACACUUCGAUUGCAUCCUGCUGCUCCAAUUUGGUCACCACAUUUGUCUUCAGAAGAUUGUAUCGUAGGAAAAUAUAAUCUCCCAAAAGACACAAUUGUGUUGGUGAAUGCAUGGGCUGCUCAUAUGGAUCCAAAAAUGUGGAGUGAGCCAACACACUUUAAGCCUGAAAGGUUUGAGAACGAAAGUGAAGUAAAUAGGUUACUUUCAUUUGGGUUAGGGCGGAGGGCUUGCCCUGGAUCAAACUUGGCUCAACGCACAGUUGGCUUAUCGAUAGCCUUAUUACUUCAAUGUUUUGAGUGGAAACGAAUUGGUAAGGAAGAAAUUGAUAUGUCUGAAGCAAAUGGAAUUACUAUUUCAAGAAAAAAUCCAUUGGAAGCUAUGUGCCAACUCCGUCAAUCACCAACAGUUAAGAAUAUGUAUUGAUUUAUGACGUUAUUUAAAUAAUAAACCUAUUGGUAAUUUAUGAAGAAUAAAUAUGUAUGCAAUAAGCAUUAUUUAAUCAUUUUGUAAGGGUUGAAGUGAAUGUAUCUCCAUUGUAUGUGAUAUCUUUUAAGUUCUACUUUUACAAUAAAUUAGUAAUUUUUUUAUAACAUUUGAUUACUCAUGCAAGUCUCUUACUCAUGUCAACUUAAUUAUUUUCUUACAAUUCAAAGAUCACAUUGUCUUUUGUCUUUGAUUUUAUCAUUCAUUAGCAUAGGUUGUCUUUGAUAGAUUGCAUUAUAUAUAUUUGUUUCAAUUAAUUUUUAGUUUUAUUUGAGUAUUAUUUGAAAUCACUGGUGUAUCGAAGGAAUAUGACAAUGAUUGUUUUGAAAUUAUGAAAGCAGUUUCAGAACUGAGGUAUAUUCAGAUGAGAUAAAAGGCGAGAUUUUUAACCUCGGUUAAAAAACUAACGCAUUAAAGGUUAUGAUUUUGCUUCGGUUCAAAAAAUCCGAAGCAGUAAACAAAAAAUAAUUAGGUCUUUUACCUUGGUUGGAUCCAGAACCAAAGCAAUAGAUCCCUUUUUGCCUCGUCGGUUGGAUCCAGAAUCGAGACAAUAAACGCUUUUCUACUUCAGUUGGAUCCAGAACUGAACAAUAGACCAUUUUUGGCCUCGGUUUUUAGCACAACCAUUGUCUAAAGUCCAUUUUUUUUUCGGACUUUAGAUUAUCGCACUUGCUUCUGUCAAUGUGCCAUUUAAGGUUUUUUUAAUCUUCUUUAACUAAAAACAAUCAUUUCAAUCUAGGUAUUAUAGGCAAGUACCGUAUCACCUCAGCAGGUGCACCAUCAUUGCCUUCAUCACCAUUUUCUAUCAAAUUUCCUUUUAAACCAUGAUAAACCACAUGUGGGACACAACUUUAGUGAAGCAAAAUUCUUUACGUACAAAACACAAUCAUUAGGAUAAGCAUGUAACUUUUGAUAUUCCAGACCCAUGGAACAUAAAAUUUUCUCCGCCUCGUAAUUACAGAAAGGUAGAGUGUUAUUUUCUGGAAGCAUCUCCUUCAACAACUCUAACAACUCUGUGAAACUUUUAUCAGUUCAUCCAUUCCUUGCGUUUAAACUAAACAACUUCAAAGUUGCAGAUAGACGUGCAAAGUUGGGGCAUCCUGGAUAUAACUCUUACUCUGAAUCAUUCUUAAAAGAAUAAUACAAAUUAGCUCUUCCAAAAUUUUCUUUACCAACAUCACAUAUCAUGUCUUCUAAAUGAUCACUCAACCAUUCUUCCACAUAAUUUGUUCCUCGCGAUGCUAUAGGCUUCUCUAGUACUUCUCCAUGCCAAGUCCAAACACCAUAACUUCUCAUUAUAUCGAACAUUAAUAGAUGGUCACACAUGUCUUAAAGUAUUUUAUUAAGACAACAAAAACAAGGACAAAUAUAUGACACAUUCAUAGAGUUUGUGUUUUGUUGAACUUAUUGCAAGAACUCUCAAACUCCCUUUUCAUAUUCUUGAUUGACGUGACGUUCAUUCAUCCAGCUUUGAUCCAUACUAUGUUCGUAACAAAUUUCAUCAGUCCCAAAUUUAUAACUUUCACAAGCUUAGGCCCUACCCAUCGAAAAAAUUAUUUUUCAUAAUUUUCUAACAUGCAUACAAAGAAGUCUAAAAUGAUAAAAGUGAUAAGAUUUCGGCAGCAUUUCACAUUGGUCUUUGAAAUACACAAAAUGAAAGUGGUCACGAAUGACCAUAAUCAAAUAUGCAUCCAGAGAACAAUACAAAUAAUCUUAACCGAAAUUUUAUCAAACUUUUCCAUACACUCCAACGUACAUGUUAUAGCAAAUUGUAAGGAAUAAUUUUUCCAAAUUGUUCGAUCGGACAAUUUCAAAUUUGAUGCAAAUGAUUAAAAGUUUAAUCAUUUGUGUUAAAUGUCUAAUAACAACUAAGUUUCACUCAAUAAUUUCAUAAUACUACAAGAAAUAUUGGAAUUACAUACGGAUAUUUACAUACGGAUUUAAAUCCAUGUGUAAUUUAAGUAUUACAUACGGAUAUUAUAUACGGAUUUUAAAAAUAGAAUUCCAUACGAAUUUUUAUAUACGAAAAAUCCGUAUAUAAAGUUGGCGCGUGAUGGUGGGAAAAUUACCUAAGGAUAAUAGUCGUAUAUAAUUCCCAUUAUCCGUAUGUAAUGAGAAUCAAGUGUUAACUAUCGAUAUUAUAUACGGAUUUAGAAAAUAAUUUUUUUAAAAAAAAUAUUUUUGAUUAAUUGGAAGCUGGUGAACAAUUUCACUCUCAUUCUAGACCCUCUAGCUUUCCUCUCUCCUUCUCCCCUUCCUUUCUUGUUCAAAACCCUUACCCUUACAAAUUUAAAUUUCUUUUUCCUUCACAUACCCUAACCUGCUAUAGAUUAUACCAAAGCUCCAUGUUUCAGUUUUCUUUUUCCUUGUUCCUGACAUGCAAUGUGUGUUCAAUUGAAGUUUUAGGUUCUACUCCUUAACAAAUUUUCACUCAAUUCGAUCUCGCUCACAAAGAAGAAGUUUGGUUCUUCUCACAUUCUUUGGAACCCUAGCCUAGCCUCCAUUGAAACCAUAGCCUCCACCGUAAAUGCCUCUUUCGCGUUAGCCCUCCCCUGGAACCCUAGCCCUCACCCCGUGCUCCAUUACAAGGCUGAGGUUACUAGAGACCGGUCGCAGCGAAGCGUUGGAGUGUCUCAAGGCCCACCCCUGUGGCGGUGUCGAUUCGAUGACACUGGCCCCAAAUCAAGUUAGAAAACCCUAGUUACGACAUUGUCUCUGAGGAUGAGUAGAUUGCCCUUGUCGACAAGCGUCACGAACAGACUCACUCCUUCAUAGUCGAUGAUGGGGGAAACAGAUAGGGCCAUGAAGGCGAGGAAGAGGGCUGGUCUAAGGUGAGUUUAUUAGUGAACUACAUAAAAGACGAGGAUUAUGGUCAUUACUGAAAUUUUCUUUUAGUUAUAUAAUAAUAUGGUCAUUAUUGAAAUACUAAAAGUUAAGUUUUCUCAUACCUUUGGUUGCUUAUUGAAGGUUCUCCAAAUACUAGAGGAUGACAUGGUGGUGGACAUAAAUUACAUCUUCACUCUAGGUUAUGAUGGUGGAAACCGAAGUGGAAGAAUGGUAAGAGCCAUUUCCAUUCCCUCGAAUAAUCAAUGCUUUGUCAUUUUUUAAGUUUUUAUAUCUUCAAGAAUUGAAUUUCAGACAUAGGCCUACUUUAAUUGCAAUACUUAUGUCAUUGACAAUUUUUCCAUGUUUGAUAAUUCCAUACUUUAAUUCUGGAGAAAGUUGUUUUCUUUUUUAUUUCUUAGGUAAUCCAAUUAUACAAAGAUUUGGUUAUCUCUAUUUUGACUGAAUCGAAUGUAAAAAUUUAUCUAAAAACUUUUGAAAUGUCAUAAUUAACAGAGUAAAAUUGAUUAGAUAAUGUAAGUGUUUAGCUACAUUUAAAGAAAGCGAAUAGGUACCCAAGCAACAAUUUAGUGCAAAAUCAGGUAAUCACCCCGUAAAAGUCGAAAAAGUCCCUAAUAUAUUAAUUUUUGUGCAACAUUUAAAGGGAAAGAUCAAGUGUGCCUUACUUAAGCUUAUAGAUAUCACUAUUUAGUUUUAAUCAAAUCUGGCAUUUUCUGUUGUAAGCAUCUUGAAGUCUACUUAAUUACAAACAAUGGAUAUUACUUGAUUUUGUCAUUUUUCCACCCAGAUGGUUGGUUGCUGAGCAUACUUUCCGGCCUCCAUAUUAUUAUCACAACUGUAUGAGUGAAUUUAUGAGCCUUAUUCACGGUGGCUAUGAGGUAUAUCAUAUCAAAAUUUGACUUAUAAUCACUAUUUGAUAGAAGAAGUAAAUGGUAAUAUGUAGCUUUAUAUGGGAAAAUAUCAAGAUUAGUUUUGCUGUCAGUUGAGUCAAAAUUUGGUCUUCUUUAAUCUAUGCCUAACACGUUUGUUUGUUCAGGCCAAGGUUGAUGGAUUUCUUCCUGGUGGUCCAAGUCUCCAUAACUAUAUGACUCCCCAUGGUCUUGAUACCAAGUCAUAUGAGGUAUGGUUUUUCCAAACAAUCACGCACAAUAUGAUUACAAGUAUAAAAAGUAAACCUCUAUUCUAAUGGGUAAGUUGGGCCUAUAACCCAUGUACCUACUCACAGUAGCAGGGGAAUUUUGUAGUUGUCACUGCCAUAUAUCUUAUUGCACAUCACAUGAGACUCUUUGUGCUUUAAGCAUAGAUGAAGGAAAAUUUAACUUAAAAAUUAAAUUGUUAGGAGAAAGCACUUGAAGGGUUCUAUAUCGAACACUAAUAGCAUAAUUAUCUAGAAUAAUAAACUUAGGAGAUGUAAUAGUUUUUAUGUUUUAUUUUCAAAGUUAUCCCAGGAAGUUGAUGAGCAGUAGUUAUUUUUUCUUAAGAUUAUUCCUUUGUUCUUUAUUCAAAUAGUGGAGUUAGAGCUUGUAAGGGGAGGGUUGUUAGAGAUCGAAGGGAUUGUAAAUGAAAUUACUUUUGGAGCAAAGUUACAUUAUUUUGAUUAUCUUUACUUGAUUCUUUACAAAUUUAAUCACAGGUCAUUAUUCUUACCAUCAGUUUAAGUUUAAACUUAAGAAAUUGGAUUGUGUCAUGUUUGAAAGUAAUUUGAUCAUAUUUAGUCUUAAAACUCUAUUUGAUCUUAUUGCAGGUUCUUGUCGGAUGGGUUGGCUUGGCCGUCUUAUUUGCACUUUGUUUCAUUGAAGCUCGUUUGAAAAUCUAGUAUCUGAGAUAUCAGUUUAUCAUUAUGAGUUAUAUAUUCAUAUUUACAAAUGUUUUCUCUAGGAUAGUCAUUAUGCUUAUAUGCUUGAUACGGUUGUGAUAUGAAAAGAAAAGAUAGUCUAUUUUCUAUUUCACAUUACUUUGGGAAGAGAAUAAAGUAUUCAAGAAAGUUGUUAAGAAAAACAGCGAAGUAAGUUUUGGAUCGUCCUCUCACCUAUUUAACUCCUAGCUAUUUGAAAGCAUUAACCAAUUCUAAAUUACUUGAUCAGGCAAAUUUUAUUCUUCAUGAUGGCCCUCCAUAUGGUAAUGGCGAUCUUCACAUAGGGCAUGCUUUAAAUAAAAUUUUGAAAGAUAUUAUUAAUCUUUAUAAGGUAUGUGUUUCGGAUGGAAGCGAGAUUACAAUAGACCUCAGCGACUCUGCUCUUUGUUCCUGAACUCUCGUAGUAGCUGGAACACCGAACGGGAGUACCUACAGGUUAGCACUCCAACGAUCAAGUCAGCAGAGUUAUUAUGAUGAUAAUAUUCAGGAAAAUCAAUCUAACCUAUUACCUGGACCAUGCUUGCCUAUUUAUAGAGAAAUAUAUCCACAAUAAUAGGAGGCACGUUACGCUUAGUCACGUGCUCCGUAUUUUUCUCCGCGAACUUAGCUGUUAGCUGUAACCGUAGUAGCAACCACUUCCUUCCAGAUAUUUACUCCGCCAUUUGCUCCGCUAAAUCCGCAAACUCUCUCCACUAACUUAACUAUCACUACUCCUUCGGUAUAAUCCUCACCCCGAUCUUCUUGGCNUGUUUCCCGAUCUUCCAAACUCUUCUGACCUUUUUCUUGUAGUCUUUACGCAAGUCACCGGCUAUCCUCUAUGAGUGUUUUUCUUCCUAUCGGCAUUAACUCAUUACCGAUCUUCCUCUUCGUGACCCCGAUCGACCUGAGCCAUCUAUAUUACAGUAUGUUUUAUUGUUAUCAUAAUGUAACAUUUAAAGCAUAUUUUUUUCUGUUUUGAUUUAUGUCUGAUACGUGCGACUUUAGGUAAACAUCAUCAUUUGUACAUAUGUUCUCUGCAAAAGGCCAAUCUUUUUGUUUAGUAUUUAAAAAUGGAAUCAUUAAAAUUAAUAGAAUAAUCCAUAGAGUACGAUAUUUUCUUUGAUUUGUCUUAAUAGUUCUUUUUUGGUUAUGUGGAAAAUGAUGUUUGACAUUUUAUUCCUUGUACAAUUAGCUGAACUGAAAAUGACAUUCACUUGGUUUCAAGCAGGAGGACCAUCUUAUGCAGUAGAGCUGGGAAGGCUAGAUAGGAGAGUUUCAGCAAAAGGAAGCGUUAGACACCAUAUACCUCAUCCUGAUUUCUAAGACCAUAUUCUCUUGUAAGUUGUGAAAAAUUUGAAGAAUAAAGCUUUUGAAGAUUACUUUAAAUUGAUAAUGUUCUACUUAGUCAAAAAUUGCCUUACCCAUUAUGAUAGGAAACAUAUAGGAGGGAAAUAGAAAGUUUUCUAACCUAUUUUCUCAAAAUAUCAGGAGUAUCUCGUCAGUGUUAACCCUAUUUGGAUCUUGCGACAGGUAAUUAAAUUUCCAAAACAUUAAAAUUUAGAAAAAUUGGCUCUUUAAAAUUUAGAAAAUGAAAAGUUAUAAUACUCAUUAAACUUUUAAUACAUUAAUCUUACUUUUCUUUUUCUUUUAUCAUGCUCAAUCCAAACCAUGUGUUAAGUUCAUUUCUAAUUCACAUUCUCUAUAUCCAAUUUUAAUUUAAAUUUUACAAGUUCUAUCUAUUUUCUGAAUCUUUAAAAUUAUCACUAAGGAUUAAGAGUCUAGUUGACAGAUGUUUUAAUUAGAAAUUAUAUAAAUGGUUUAUAUUUAGCCUUUUAUAUUUUAUAAUACCUUUCUAUUUCCCUCCUACAUUUCCUAUCAUGUCCCAAUCCCUCUUAACAUGCAAACUGAUACCUAAAAAAGGACUCAUACCAUCAAGUAAUCAAAAUACCUUUGUGCAAAUUGCAAUUGUAUUUAUAUACAUACUGUUGUAUAGAAGAACCUCCAACAACAUUUAAAUUACAUUCUACUAGAUUGGGUUACCUGGGCAUCAAUCUUGGCUUCAUUCUUCUUACCCUAACGCUUAUAAUGCUAUGAAUUUUAUUAAAUUCAUCUUAAUAUUCUUCUAUGUUUUGACCAUCUUAAUUGUUUAAUAGAGUUUGUCAACUUUAUGUAUGACCAACCAAUUGCAUUUAUUUUUGUCAGUCAUUGGCAUAUAGUGGUUUUGACCCACUUCCUCCACUCAGCACAAUCUAAUAAGGAGAAGGGAAAAAGCAAUAUGUGGUGAAGUUGUUAUCACGGUGAUGGAGUGCAACAAUAUCAACGCCCAGAUGAACAAAAUCCUUAGUGAUUGAUUAUUAGGAAGCUCUAGACUUGUCAUUCUAUGUUGUUUGACAUCUGAUGAAUUGUAAAAUUUAUAUUGUUUGGCAUCUUAGGAACAAUACAAUCUAUUUAUGAAUAUUAGAUAUUUUGUAAACUUAUUUUGAUAAUGAUUUUUAUGUAAUAUAUAUCUAUUUUAAAUGUGAAGUGUUUGAUAUGGUGUUAAAAAAAAUUAUUGUGAUUGCUAGUUGUAUGUAUAUUCCAAGUUUCAGAUUAAUGCAGGUUUAAUUGCUGAAUAAUUUUUUUCUGUCGUAUUUAAUUAUAUACGGAUUUUAUAUAUAUAUAUAUAUAUAUAUAUAUAUAUAUAUAUUUUUGUAUGUAAUUAUAUAGAGAUUUUAUAUACGGAUUUUUCCGUAUGUAAUUAUAUACGGAUUUUUCCGUAUGUAAUUAUAUACAGAUUUUAUAUACAGAUUUAUCCAUAUGUAAUUAUAUAUGGAAAUCUGUAUAUAAGUUAUAUACGGAUAUAUCCGUAUAUAAGUUAUAUACUGAUACAUCUGUAUAUAAGUUAUAUACUGAUACAUCCGUAUAUAACUUAUCCACAACAGUUUUAUAUACAGAUUUUUAUCCGUAUAUAAACCGUAUAUAACCAAUUGUUAUAUGCGGAUUUUGGACUUUAUAUACGGAUUUUGGCUAUUUCUAAUUCAAUUUUUUCUUUUAGUAAAUAUAUUCAAAGUUUACAUAACAUGACAAAACCUUUGAGACAAGAUAAGCUUGUCGAGUAAGAAAAAGAUUUCAGACAUUUCAGACGAAGAAAGAAAAGAUGACUAAGAAGUUGUCAGGUAAGAAUUUCGAUUUCUGAUAUUGCAGUUUCUUAUUCUUAAGCAUUUCAAUUUCGAUUUCUGAUAUUGCAGUUUCUUAUUCUUAAGCAUUUCGAUUUCGAUUUCUUAUAUUACAUUUUUUUAUUCUGAGUUUUAUUCUAUUUAGGUUUGUUUCUGAUUCGAGCUGUUCAUGUAUUUUUUAGGGAUUUUUAUGCUUUGUUUAUCUAUUUGUAGGUUACGACUACUUCAAAGACAUAGGUAUUCCAGCCAUAUGUACUUUGUUUAACAUGAAAUUGUGGGAAUACCUUCCUAUUACGGAAAUCUGAAGAAAGAGGAAGAAUGCAAACUCACUAUAGUGACAGUCGCUGCCUGUACCGCGAGAAUUUAAGCCUUAGAGGCCGAAAUAAUAGAGUUGAAACCGAAGAAGGAAAUUGUAGAGAAGAAGAUGUGAUUUGUGUUAGUAUAGAUUAGAAGUAUAGGAAUAAAGGUUAGUAUAACCAAUUGUGAAGUUUGACAACCCCCUUCUCUUCUAUUGUAUUUCGCUACUUUUGGUUCAUGAUAUAUUUUUUCAUUUAGACUCACGUCUGUUUGGUUGAAAGUAUAGGUAUAAAUGUUAGUAUAAACAAUUGUGAAGUUUGACAACCCCCUUCUCUUCUAUUGUGUAUCGCUACUUUUGGUUAAUCAUAUAUUUUUUCAUUUAGACUCACGUCCCUUUGCUUGAAAGUCAUGGUUAUCAUUUUUCUGACUUUGUUUUGGAUUUCAAAUAUUUACUUGCUGGAAAGGAUGAGCACGAACACAAGUUUUCUUCUAGACUAUAUUUAGAUUUUGUAAUAUAUUGUCUUCUGUUAUGUGCUUUUGUUAUUAUGUUCAUCAGCAACACAAAUAGGAAGUGGCUUUAAGCUGUCUUCGUUAGAAUUAACCGUACUCUUAUCAUGAUAAUUGUGCCUUAAUCCUAAAUUCUUCUUUUACCAUACAUUUCUAAGUUAUUGUAUACUUCAUUUGGAUGAAGCUGAAUCUUGUAGGUGAUAAUUUUGGCUCAGUGGUUUUUGUUUUACUAUACGUUCCUAAAUGAUAUAUCAUUCUUUCAUCAAUGCUUCAUUGGAAAAUAUUUGCAUUUGUUGUAACAGGUUUUGAUAUGUCGAAAUGAGGCUGAAAAGUGCUUAAUAGAAACAUCUAUCAAUUCAUUGCGGAUAAGUCUCAAGGUAUAUUUUUUCUUGAUUGUAAGACUAAUGUUUUGUUAAAAUGGUUUAAAAUUAAAUCUUGUCCCAUGGUUGUGAAGAUUGAUUUAGUAAAAUCUGAGAAAAUGUUUCCAUAAUAUCUAACAGCGUCUAGUCUUAGUUUCACGUCUGGUCUACUAUAGUGUCUAUGAGACUAGAACUUCUUAUGUGGGUGCUUAUGACCAAAUGUGUUAUAUUGUCCACGUCUCCUAUUUGUUCAGUUAUAGCACGUGUACAAUGUUAGUCUGGUUGGUAUUGCUCAUAAUUAAGUUAUUGUCAUCUAAAUUAAGAAUAGUAUGAAUUCCGUAUACGUUAAAUUAAGAUAAUAUAUAUAUAAUUUUAAUUUAAAAAUUGGCGUGCCAAAACAUUUGAGACAAGACAAGCUUGUCCAGUAAGAAAAAGAUUUCAGACAUUUCAGACGAAGAAAGAAAAGAUGUCUAAGAAGUUGUCAGGUAAGAAUUUCGAUUUCUGAUAUUGCAUUUUCUUAUUCUUAAGCAUUUCGAUUUCGAUUUCUGAUAUUGCAUUUUCUUAUUUUGAGCUUUAUUCUGUUUAGGUUUGUUUCUGAUUCUAGCUGUUCAUAUAUUUUUUAGGAAUUUUUAUGCUUUGUUUAUCUAUUUGUAGGUUACGACUACUUCAAAGACAUAGGUAUUCCAACCAUAUGUACUUUGUUUAACAUGAAAAUGUGGGAAUACCUUCCCUACUACGGAAAUCUGAAGAAAGAGGAAGAACACAAACUCACUGCAGCGACAGUCGCUGCCUGUACUGCGAGAAUUGAUGCCUUAGAGGUAUCUAGAGCAGUACUUGCAUAGUUUGGCGGAAGAGGAAAAGUGAAAAACAUUUAUGGAUGUAUUGGCUCUUAUCCUCUAUGGUGUCAUGUUUUUUCCUAACAUCGAGAAUUUCGUCGAUCAUGCCGCAAUGAAUGCAUUCGUGGGAUACAAAGAACACUCUGAGAAUCCAGUCACUGCUAUCCUAGCUGAAGUUUAUGGGACCCUUAAUCAAAGUUACGAGCUAAAAGGAGGAAAAAUUUUAUGUUGUGUACUAGUGUUGUAUGUAUGGUUCGUCUCUCGGGUGAAUGAGAACACAUUGAAUGCCACAUGUCCUGUGGAUGAGCUACUGUAAUGUAAACCAAAUAUGAAAGGGACAAAUGAAUGGGCGCAACUCUAUGCAGGUUUAAAUGUGGAGCAAAUUAAAUGGAAUGUCCUUUGACUGCAAAGAUCGCAAAUCAUAUAUUAUUGCAGGAGGUACCCUAAAGGACACGGACCUGUGGAAAAAUCAUGGAGAACCAAAGAGAAGUUCAAGAGGGGAUGAAAGCUGAUAUCCAACAACUACAAGAGCAAAUGAGCCAAAUCCUAGAGGCCCUAAUGCCUUACAAGGCCCUGUAGAUCCGUGUGCAUCGCGAUCGCAACAAAGAGCAUCAAGGGCACAAACUUUCCCUCCUUAUGGUCUUCCUUCGAAUUACACUCCAACCUUAGGAGCGGACUUGGGACAUGUUGACACUCAAAAGGCCGAAGAUAACGCGGUUAAAGUAGAAGACAAGCUCGGGGCAGCCACUGCUCUAAUUCAUGAGGAGACAACCCAGUCAGGCAUGGCGGGCGUGAUAAUGACAAAACAACUCGAGACAAAGUCUUCACCUCAUGUUGUUAUGCCAACAGAGUUUAAGGACAACAACAGUGAACUAGAAAUGCUGGAGAAGAGGUUCAGGGCCAUAGAGGGCCAAGGAAGUUUUGAAUUUGGAGAUGCUAGAAAACUAUGUUUGGUUCCAGAUGUGGUGAUACCUCCAAAGUUCAAGUUGCCAGAUGAUAAGUUGUCGUUGAAGCUAUCAAAUUAAUAUUACUUUUCAAGACAACUUCAGUAUUGCCUAGUAGUAUUCAAGAAAAUAGAUAGGGCUAAAGUAACCCUAAGUCGUCUCCCAACAAACACGGAAUUGCUUUCGAAUAUCUGAAACUUAUGAAUGCUAUGUAAUGCUUAAGAACAAAAGUGAGGAUGUUUAAAGGUUGUUGUAAAACAAAUAGAAAACUUAAAAACAAUUAUAAAGAAACAGGCUAAUUCCACUACUUUUCCAAAAUAGAUUCAUCAUCGGUUAUUCACAGAUCAUUGUUCAAUUGAUUAUUGUUUAAGUUUCAAAUUAAUUAAAGUACAUUCUUAAUUAAUUUGAGGGCGAUCAUGCAGUUAAUCAAAGUACAUUCUCAAUCAAAUGCAAGACCUUUCUAGAUUAUUCACAAUAAAUUCAACCAAAGUACAUUCUCAAUCAAGUUUAUUGUGUUUAAUCAUGUCUAUUCUUAAAUCUCUUAACCAAAUUAAAAGUUAAUCAAUCAAAGUAAAUUCUCAAUUGAUUUUAGUCGAAAUUAUUACUACCAACCAAAGUAUAUUCUCAAUUGAUAGUAAAAACCAUUUAAUCAUAUGAAAGUUCCUAAAUUAAAUCAAAGUAGCUUCUCAAUUAAACCUAGAAAUCCUAGAACUCAUAUAAUUAAUAUGCAUGUAGAUUCAAACACAUAAUGAUGCAAAAAUCUUUGGUUUUAAUAUGAUAGAGAGAUGAAAGACAUAGAGAGAGAUAAACUUAAAUCAAUAAUCAAAAUAAACAAUUGCAUUAAUUCACUUAACCUCAGAAUCCAUAAUGAAAUUACAGCAGAAUAGCCCUAGGAGCUUAGAAACACAUAAUGAAAGAAAAGUGAAAGCAGUGGUGGAUGAAUGAAUGAAUGAAGCUCCCCUGGGUCUCUUUAUAUAGGCUUGCUUGGGCUUGGACUCUGAAUAUUCAGUUGAUAGAAUCUUUUAUCUUAUAUCUUCCAAAUAACUAAAAGAUUUAGAUAAUUAACAUUACUUGGAAGAUAUUUUCUGUUGAUAUAAUUAAAUUAAUUCAACAACUGAAUUUUAUCUUUUAGCUUUUCUGAACUUUCCAAAAUUACAUAACAACCCCUAAAAUUUCCUCUAUCUGCACUUAAGCCCCUUUUUAAUUUCUGAAAUUGCACAUUGCCCCCUGUUGACCAGCUUUGACCAGACUGAAGCAGUGUUGACCAGCUUUGACUCAUAUGGACGCAGCCAUUGAGAAUCAAACACGUGUCAACCCCUUUUCUACCCCAAAAUUAGGGUUUGCCAGAUUGGGGAAAAACCUUGCUCCUUCCCCUACGCUGCGCCGUCAUGCAGGGAGUGAAGAACUCGCAUGGUUUCUUCAAGGCGCGAUUGCUUCUGCGAUUGCUGGGUUUAUUGCAGGUCUAGUUUUGAUGCAGGUUCUGAUGCGGUGAUGGAGGAGUCGCGACGACCAUGGUGCGAAUUGGGUUUCUGAUAGUUGCGGCCUUGACGGAUGAUGAUGGCUGCACGAUGGUGGAGAAGUGAUGCCUCUCGCAGAUGAUGGAGGUGCUGCUAUGGUUGCACGACGGCUUGCUGGUGGCUUUGUUGGAGAAGAAAUCGCGAUUCUGGCGAGGGAGAUGAUUCGAAUCUACUAGGCUUGCGCGAUAAUGAGUUUGUUGAGUUGUGCAGGUGGUGGCCGUCGUUGAUGGAGGAUGGUGGCGCUGAGACUGAGGCAACGCUGGGUUUCUCGGUGUUGAUGGUGGCCGGCGAGACCGUAGCUGGUUGCACGAUGUCGCUGGGUGGCUGCCAUGGAGGAGGCGGCGGCUAGGGUUAGGAAGAGGAAUUAGGGUUUCUUCUGUGGAAGAUGGUGAUGACGUGGCAAGGGUGGUGAUGUGGCAACAAGUCAUUGGCUGAAUCUGUGUGUGGUGGAUUGACGACACGUGGCAACAUCUGAUGGACUCUGGUUUAGGAGGGGUAGGAAUAGGAAACUUAGGAGGUGUAGGAGAAAAGGGUUACUGUUGGGCUUCAGUAUUGGCUUGUGUCGCAACCGGAAAAUCGCGACGGGACGACGAUCCAAAAAUAAUUAAUAAGUUUUGGAAAAAAGUUUUGGAGUCGCCACCAUAGUUUAUUUUGGAAAACUACGGAAAAACCGUAAAAUGAUAAGGCAAGGUCUACAAAACCAAAUUCUGGUUUCGGAAGUCGGUUACGUGUGGGGAAGGUGUUAGCACCCCCACAACGCCUGCCCUAAGGCAGUACCUUUAACUAAAUACGCAAACGUGAUGUGGUUUGCAAAAUGUUUAAUUUCCCCUAAAAAUAAAACUCUAAAGAAAACAAAAUAUUUUUUUGUGUUUUUUGUGCCCGACAAGGAUUGACCUUGCUCCUACGUAUUCUCAGUUGGACUGAGAAAUCAGGGUUACGUAGUUCUUUCGAAUUAUGUUUGGGUGAUUGUUCGAAAAUAUGAUGUUUUAUAUUAAAGAAAAAGAAAAAANGAUUUUCGACACAAGGCUGACGCGAAUGGUCGCACGUGUGCUUAAACCUUUUAAAAUAUUUUUAUAUUUUGAAAGAAGGAGGAAAAGGUUUUAACACAAGGCUGACGCGAAUGGUCGCACGUGUGCUUGAACCUUUUAAAAUAUCCUUGUAUUUUUUGAAAGAAGGAGGAAAAAGUUUUAACACAAGGCUGACGCGAAUGGUCGCACGUGUGCUUGAACCUUUUAAAAUAUUUUUGUAUUUUUGAAAGAAGGAGGAAAAGGUUUUAACANNNNNNNNNNNNNNNNNNNNNNNNNNNNNNNNNNNNNNNNNNNNNNNNNNNNNNNNNNNNNNNNNNNNNNNNNNNNNNNNNNNNNNNNNNNNNNNNNNNNNNNNNNNNNNNNNNNNNNNNNNNNNNNNNNNNNNNNNNNNNNNNNNNNNNNNNNNNNNNNNNNNNNNNNNNNNNNNNNNNNNNNNNNNNNNNNNNNNNNNNNNNNNNNNNNNNNNNNNNNNNNNNNNNNNNNNNNNNNNNNNNNNNNNNNNNNNNNNNNNNNNNNNNNNNNNNNNNNNNNNNNNNNNNNNNNNNNNNNNNNNNNNNNNNNNNNNNNNNNNNNNNNNNNNNNNNNNNNNNNNNNNNNNNNNNNNNNNNNNNNNNNNNNNNNNNNNNNNNNNNNNNNNNNNNNNNNNNNNNNNNNNNNNNNNNNNNNNNNNNNNNNNNNNNNNNNNNNNNNNNNNNNNNNNNNNNNNNNNNNNNNNNNNNNNNNNNNNNNNNNNNNNUAUUUUUGUAUUUUUGAAAGAAAGAGGAAAAGGUUUUAACACAAGGCUGACGCGAAUGGUCGCACGUGUGCUUGAACCUUUUAAAAUAUUUUUGUUGAUUUUUAUAUUCAUAUAUUUAAAAAGUAGAUAAAAAAAAUAAUAAUAAAAAAUAAAAAUAAAAUAAAAUAAAAUAAAAUAAAAUAGAAUUAAAAAUUUAAAUCAAUAAAAUAAAAAUAAAAAGAUAAAAUAAAAUAAAUAACAACAAAGUAAAGAAAGAAAUUGCAAAGGUACUUAAAUAAGAAAAAAGUCUAGGUUAUUUUUCUUUUUAAAAACGAACUGGGCCUAAACCCAAGCANAGAGGGGUGGUGCCAGUAANACUAGGGGUGCGGAAGAAGUUUUUUUUUUAUAACAGACUGGGCCUAAUCCUAGACAGAAGGGGUGUCAAGAUGGGAAGUGGGGUGUGCAAGGAAAAAGGGUUUUUUAGCCAGAUUGAACUUGAGCCCAAAGGAAGUGGGGGUGUGAGAGCUAAAGCAGAGGGUGCGAAAAGGGUUUUUCUGUUGCUGCUUUCUUUUACUUGACCCAAANAGAAAAUCAAAAUGAAGACAAAGGGGGCUGCGAAUUGGAAGAAUAGGGGUGCAAAGAGGAACGNUUUUUUAUUUCCUUUUUUUUUAAGUUGAAUCAAAAGGCCCAAGGCCUGUUUGCUUUCUCAGAUCUGAAAAAGAACCUUAGGGGUUCUCAAAUCCUAAUCCAUUUCAAACAAAAGUGCAAUCCAGAGUCUUCACUUUCUCCUCCAUGAACGAGAAAACCUAGAGGCAACCACCACUNACUCUGCCUCUACCUUCGUUCAGUUGGCCNGCCACCGUGACGGACCCCAGCUCCGUCCAAGGCGUCGUNGGCGGNCGAACACCGCCGGAGCUGCUGCCAUCGCGAGCCGUGACGCAAAACCCCUCUUUCCCUUUCCUCACGNGAGAACAGGGGAGCGUUGUAUUUCUCUCCUUCAACCGACCACCACCGAGAGCCUCCGCCGUCGCGAGCCGCCGUUACAGAAACGACAACCCUUCGUCGGACCACCACCUUGCCCUCUUUUCCUUCGCGCGAGAGGAAGACGAACCCACCUUCUNCAGUGCUUCCAAACGAUUCGUGCCACCAGUCGCCGCCAUCGGACCAUGAGCCAAGGUCGCGCCGGUGAUACGACUUGCUAUUGGAGCCGUCGUCACUCGAAACGGAAGCCGCCAUCACCGCGGCCACCGCCAACGUGAUUCCACCGUUUUUUUUGAUCGGAGAAAAACAGCCAUGGAGGCUGAACACCGGUUUUGCUGUUCUAUUUCUCUUUCUGUUGCGUUUUUUUGGCUUAUUGAUUUCAAUCUCAUUGUUGCUGUUUGGAGAUGGACAAAGGCAUGGAGGGUAUAGUUACAUUGUCACGGUUUGUGAUUGGUUAAGGGUUUUUGGGUUGUUUCUUCUUGCAGGGAAACGGGAUUGGGGAUUUCGGUGGUACAAGUCAAGAUUGAUGGUGGUAAUGGGAUUGCAUAUGGAGAAACAUCAGGUUACAGAUUUGCGAUAAAGUACUUCGAUGUUAGGAUAGAUGAAUGACCUUGGGAUGGAAGAUGACUACAGCAUAUGUUACUGCAAAGUUCACAAGGAGACCCACGGCUUGCAAGGAGAAAAAGCAAUUUUUGUUUCUCUAAAUGUGAUUCUGCCUAUGUCUCCUUCUUAGUACACGUUUUUCUGGGAUGAGUAAAAGGGUAUUUGAUGUGUUGUUGUUGGGCCUACUUGCUUAUGUUCCAUGAUGGAUUUUGCAGGUAUUGAAACUGUAUUUUGGGUGCAGUUCUUGAUUGCCAAAAGAUAUCACAAAGAAAACGAACAACCAUAUACACGCAAUUUUCAUUUAUAUUAUAGGCAUGUAACAUAGACAUAUAACAGGGAGCAUGUGACAGAGCAGCAGACAUUCAUGUGCGACCAAGAGCUUAGAGAAAACAACUUACCUCCGCGGCUUCAGGGAACUGGUGAAAUCAAAUGGUUCUCCUCUUCUCUGGCCGUGAGGUGCUCUGCCCGAGUGGCGAUGAUCCGUGAUGGCAACGGUAUUGGGUCCCCGACGUUAUCUGAUGGUGAGUUGGGANAAGAUGAAUGGCGUUAGUACCGGAGGUCUAGGAGUCAAGAGCUCUCUUGAGCUUUGAUGGUUCGGUGUUAAUGUUGAUGGUGGUGAGUUCCCUCUGUAUUCUGGAUUGUGAGUAAUGAGUUCGAAUAAUGGUGCUCCUCUUCUUUUCUUGUGGUUUUUUCUCUCUUCUUAUGGUGUAUGAAAAAAUGUUCCCCUUUGAAUGACUGUGAUCAAACCAUUUUGAAAACCACCAAGCUCAUUUUCUGCUGCACUGCUUCCUGGAGCUCUGGCAUAUCCUCUGGCGUAGGAUUUUCUUUUUUGUUUUUUUUCCUUUCUCCAUGUUUACCUUCUGCCAGUUAUCAGUUGGACUCAUUUUAAAAUCUUUCCACUUUGAUCCUACGUAGGGAAUGUUAGCAAGAAGAUCCAGGGCCUUUCCUCACCGCAGAGCAUAUACACGUUUUUGGCUCAACUGUGUAGCGUAGGAUAGUAACAUUGUCUGAUAUUUGUGUGUUGUAAGAAAAAGCUAAGUUGACCUUGAUUUUGUUUUUUUCUCUUUUUUUUUUUCUUUUUGGCAAAGAGUGUCAGUGGAAUGGAUAUACGUUUACUACUUAAGAAGACAACCCCUUUUUUAAGUUUAAAAUAAAGGGAAGAAAUCAAAGGGAACAAUAAAAUGGUAAAACAUAAAGGUAAAAUAAACCCCAAAAAAAAAAAAAGAAGAAAAAGGUAAACUAAAGAUAAAAGAAAUAAGUAAAGAAAAAAAAACGAGACACAAUAAAUUAGAAAUAAAAUAAAAAGGAAAAUUAAAAAUGAUGAAGGCAGCAAAUAAAAAUAAUCGAAAAAGAAAUAAAAACCCCUUUUUUUUUAAAACAAAAAAUUAAANAAGGCUGACGCGAAUGGUCGCACGUGUGCUUGAACCUUUUAAAAUAUUUUUGUAUUUUUUGAAAGAAGGAGGAAAAGGUUUUAAAACAAGGCUGACACGAAUGGUCGCACGUGUGCUUAAACCUUUUAAAAUAUUUUUGUAUUUUUGAAAGAAAGAGGAAAAGGUUUUAACACAAGGAUGACGCGAAUGGUCGCACGUGUGCUUGAACCUUUUAAAAUAUUUUUGUUGAUUUUUAUAUUCAUAUAUUUAAAAAGUAGAUAAAAAAAAAUAAUAAUAAAAAAUAAAAAUAAAAUAAAAUAAAAUAAAAUAAAAUAAAAUAAAAUAGAAUUAAAAAUUUAAAUCAAUAAAAUAAAAAUAAAAAGAUAAAAUAAAAUAAAUAACAACAAAGUAAAGAAAGAAAUUGCAAAGGUACUUAAAUAAGAAAAAAGUCUAGGUUAUUUUUCUUUUUAAAAACGAACUGGGCCUAAACCCAAGCANAGAGGGGUGGUGCCAGUAANACUAGGGGUGCGGAAGAAGUUUUUUUUUUAUAACAGACUGGGCCUAAUCCUAGACAGAAGGGGUGUCAAGAUGGGAAGUGGGGUGUGCAAGGAAAAAGGGUUUUUUAGCCAGAUUGAACUUGAGCCCAAAGGAAGUGGGGGUGUGAGAGCUAAAGCAGAGGGUGCGAAAAGGGUUUUUCUGUUGCUGCUUUCUUUUACUUGACCCAAANAGAAAAUCAAAAUGAAGACAAAGGGGGCUGCGAAUUGGAAGAAUAGGGGUGCAAAGAGGAACGNUUUUUUAUUUCCUUUUUUUUUAAGUUGAAUCAAAAGGCCCAAGGCCUGUUUGCUUUCUCAGAUCUGAAAAAGAACCUUAGGGGUUCUCAAAUCCUAAUCCAUUUCAAACAAAAGUGCAAUCCAGAGUCUUCACUUUCUCCUCCAUGAACGAGAAAACCUAGAGGCAACCACCACUNACUCUGCCUCUACCUUCGUUCAGUUGGCCNGCCACCGUGACGGACCCCAGCUCCGUCCAAGGCGUCGUNGGCGGNCGAACACCGCCGGAGCUGCUGCCAUCGCGAGCCGUGACGCAAAACCCCUCUUUCCCUUUCCUCACGNGAGAACAGGGGAGCGUUGUAUUUCUCUCCUUCAACCGACCACCACCGAGAGCCUCCGCCGUCGCGAGCCGCCGUUACAGAAACGACAACCCUUCGUCGGACCACCACCUUGCCCUCUUUUCCUUCGCGCGAGAGGAAGACGAACCCACCUUCUNCAGUGCUUCCAAACGAUUCGUGCCACCAGUCGCCGCCAUCGGACCAUGAGCCAAGGUCGCGCCGGUGAUACGACUUGCUAUUGGAGCCGUCGUCACUCGAAACGGAAGCCGCCAUCACCGCGGCCACCGCCAACGUGAUUCCACCGUUUUUUUUGAUCGGAGAAAAACAGCCAUGGAGGCUGAACACCGGUUUUGCUGUUCUAUUUCUCUUUCUGUUGCGUUUUUUUGGCUUAUUGAUUUCAAUCUCAUUGUUGCUGUUUGGAGAUGGACAAAGGCAUGGAGGGUAUAGUUACAUUGUCACAGUUUGUGAUUGGUUAAGGGUUUUUGGGUUGUUUCUUUCUUCUUGCAGGGAAACGGGAUUGGGGAUUUCGGUGGUACAAGUCAAGAUUGAUGGUGGUAAUGGGAUUGCGUAUGGAGAAACAUCAGGUUACAGAUUUGCGAUAAAGUACUUCGAUGUUAGGAUAGAUGAAUGACCUUGGGAUGGAAGAUGACUACAGCAUAUGUUACUGCAAAGUUCACAAGGAGACCCACGACUUGCAAGGAGAAAAAGCAAUUUUUGUUUCUCUAAAUGUGAUUCUGCCUAUGUCUCCUUCUUAGUACACAUUUUUCUGGGAUGAGUAAAAGGGUAUUUGAUGUGUUGUUGUUGGGCCUACUUGCUUAUGUUCCAUGAUGGAUUUUGCAGGUAUUGAAACUGUAUUUUGGGUGCAGUUCUUGAUUGCCAAAAGAUAUCACAAAGAAAACGAACAACCAUAUACACGCAAUUUUCAUUUAUAUUAUAGGCAUGUAACAUAGACAUAUAACAGGGAGCAUGUGACAGAGCAGCAGACAUUCAUGUGCGACCAAGAGCUUAGAGAAAACAACUUACCUCCGCGGCUUCAGGGAACUGGUGAAAUCAAAUGGUUCUCCUCUUCUCUGGCCGUGAGGUGCUCUGCCCGAGUGGCGAUGAUCCGUGAUGGCAACGGUAUUGGGUCCCCGACGUUAUCUGAUGGUGAGUUGGGANAAGAUGAAUGGCGUUAGUACCGGAGGUCUAGGAGUCAAGAGCUCUCUUGAGCUUUGAUGGUUCGGUGUUAAUGUUGAUGGUGGUGAGUUCCCUCUGUAUUCUGGAUUGUGAGUAAUGAGUUCGAAUAAUGGUGCUCCUCUUCUUUUCUUGUGGUUUUUUCUCUCUUCUUAUGGUGUAUGAAAAAAUGUUCCCCUUUGAAUGACUGUGAUCAAACCAUUUUGAAAACCACCAAGCUCAUUUUCUGCUGCACUGCUUCCUGGAGCUCUGGCAUAUCCUCUGGCGUAGGAUUUUCUUUUUUGUUUUUUUUCCUUUCUCCAUGUUUACCUUCUGCCAGUUAUCAGUUGGACUCGUUUUAAAAUCUUUCCACUUUGAUCCUACGUAGGGAAUGUUAGCAAGAAGAUCCAGGGCCUUUCCUCACCGCCAGAGCAUAUACACGUUUUUGGCUCAACUGUGUAGCGUAGGAUAGUAACAUUGUCUGAUAUUUGUGUGUUGUAAGAAAAAGCUAAGUUGACCUUGAUUUUGUUUUUUUCUCUUUUUUUUUUCUUUUUGGCAAAGAGUGUCAGUGGAAUGGAUAUACGUUUACUACUUAAGAAGACAACCCCUUUUUUAAGUUUAAAAUAAAGGGAACAAAUCAAAGGGAACAAUAAAAUGGUAAAACAUAAAGGUAAAAUAAACCCCCAAAAAAAAAAAAAAGAAAAAGGUAAACUAAAGAUAAAAGAAAUAAGUAAAGAAAAAAAAACGAGACACAAUAAAUUAGAAAUAAAAUAAAAAGGAAAAUUAAAAAUGAUGAAGGCAGCAAAUAAAAAUAAUCGAAAAAGAAAUAAAAACCCCUUUUUUUUUAAAACAAAAAAUUAAAUGAAAUUAGUCUCCACUUNUUAUUAUUAUUAUUCCUGACCCUAAACAUUUUUAUUUGACUAUCCGGACGAAAUUGGGUAUUGACAGUUUGAUUUAGAACUGAGGGGUGCAUGUAGGGAAAUAUGGGGGUGCAAGAGUAAAGAUUUCCUAUUUGGCCCAUCUGGACAUUAUUUUUCAAAUAAAAUCUGAUUUUGGGCUUUAAAUUGCAAUUUGGACCAAUAAAACUCUAAUUUCAGCUGCACAAAUAAAUAUUAGAACAUCCAAGAAUAAUUUAUGCAAUUAAAAUCACUUUUUAAGCCUCUUUAGUUCCAAAACCCAAUAAUUCAACUUCACACUGAUUCACUUUAAAUCAACCAUUUAAGCAUAAAUAUCUUAUCAAAAAUUUGAAUUUUAAAGCAUAAAUGUGGGCAUAAAUAUUCACUCAUCACCAGAGUUUGAGAAAUAUAGGGGAAACACUUGCCCAAGGAGCCACAUAACCAUGUACUGUAGAAAAAUGGUGGCCCAUGUUCACGACGAAAAACUGUUGAUUCACUUCUUCCAAGAAAGUUUAACUGGCGUAGCUCUAAAUUGGUACAUGCGCUUAGAAACAACGCACAUCAACACAUGGAAAGAUCUGGUUGAUGCAUUCCUAAGGUAGUAUGAAUAUAAUGAAGAUCUAGUACCUGACAGAGUACAACUGCAAAACAUGGUGAAGAAUGAGUCUGACAUUCAGAGAAUAUGCCCAAAGGUGGAGAGAAAUUGUUGCUCAAGUAGAACCGCCUCUGAGUGAUAAGGAGAUGACUACCAUAUUUCUGAAUACUCUACAACCACCAUUUUAUGAGCACAUGAUAAGCAGUGUCUCUUCGAGUUUUGUUGAUAUAGUAGUAAUUGGAGAAAGGGUUGAGGGUGGCAUAAGAAAUGGAAAAAUUGCACUAGAUCCAAAUCUGGUGGCGAGUCUGAAUGAGUAUGGUCUUGGACAGGAGGAAAAACGAAAGCAAAAGGCUAAUUCGCAUUUUACUGCCUAUUCCCAGAUGACGCAUUCCUAUGGGUCCAACCGAGCCAUUAAGCAAACAACUUACAACCGGAAUGAGAAGGUCGUCAAUUUCACUCCUAUCCCCAUGACCUAUACGGAGCUACUGCCAGAUCUUCUCCGCAAUAACCUCAUAGAGGUUUGUCCCACCAAGCGUGUACGACCUCUUUACCCAAAGAACUAUGACAUAAAUGUCAGGUGUGAUUAUCAUGAAGGAGCGCGUGGACAUUCAACAGAAGCAUGCAAGGCUCUAAAGCAUAAAGUGCAAUCUUUGAUCGAUUCAGGAUGUUUAAAGUUUGAAGAAAGUCAAUCCAACACUAAGGCAAGGCGUGAGUUUGCCUCUACAAACGCCAUGGACAAAUGAAGAGGACUCUAGGACUAUAUCGGAAAGCAUGGAUUACGGUAAAAAGUGAAACUGAUGUUGUUUUGCUCUGUUUUGAAUUGUCUUGCUAUAAGGGCUAUUGAUAACUCUCUAAAUUUGCAUUUAUAAUUGUGUUUAGGAGUCUUUCUUAGCUUCUUUUAUUCUUUAAUUGUCUAGAAUUAGGAUAGUUUUAGGUUUUUCUUUAAAUUCUUUAGUUUUGUAUAAAUUUAGUUAAAAAUAGAUUUUUAGUGUAUUUUUUUUAGUCUUUGUAAAUAAUUAGGAAAUUAACAUCUUUUUUAGAAAAUCUUUUGAUAAAAAUUCUUUCUUUUAAGUGAUAAAUUUUCUUUUCUUUAAAUUUUGAAUUGAUUUCUUUUUUUUUUAUCUUUGCUGCGGAAUAAGUCUUAAUAAGUUGGGUGAAAUGAUAUGAUUGGGCCUUUGAUGCUGAAUAGAAGAACUGGGUUGUUGCUGCUGUUUGACGCACUGCUGCUGACUGGGAUUAAAUGAACUGCCGCUCUGCACUACAGAAAUUCAAUUGGGCUGGAUAAACACUUGGGCCCUAGAACGCUGAACUUGAUUCUAAAUUGCACUGCUGCAGCGUUGUUUAAUGAAGCGGUGUUGAACUAAAGUAGAGCAUUGGAUUGGGCCAACUCUCCUUUAAUGAAACGAUGAGUUUUAUGUCUUGGCAGUGGAAGCUUUUGGGGGUGAAUGCUCGAGACAUAUUCAUUUGGCAGAGAAGAGAAUACUCUCUUGGGGGCGUUGGAGAAGAAAGAAAACCCUCGACUGAGGGCUUGGAGUGAGAAGCUGGCGGAGCUGAACCGGUGAGAGAGAAGAGCUGACCGGAGUGCCACGUGGAGGAUCAAAUGACUGGAAGAGCAAGCUCGAAGCAAAUGAACAGUGACCGUUGGAUCAAGAGCAGGAAGCGUCCAGAUGAAGGUUUCUCUUUUCCAGAUUUUUUCUUUCCUCGCUCUUAGUUUUGGACCCUAUAUAAAGGGAUUAUUGUCAUGUAAAUAAAGAGUUUUUUUUUUUUUUACAGAGUUGGAAAUUUUACAUACUUUUGAUUUCUCGAUUUGUUUAGAAUAGAGAGAGAUCGCGAUUUCUAGGGUUUCAUCACAUUCUUCGGUAAAACUCAAGUUCUUGCGCUCUCGCUCAAUUCUAUUCAAUACAUUUUCAUUUUUUUCAUUGUUCUUUGUUCUUUGUUAAUAAUACUCCCCUUCGUGUUGUUUCUGUUGAGUGUUUGUGAUGUGAUUGCGUUCUUUUCAAUGUUUUCGUAUUCUCGUGUGCGUAUGUGAAAAUUUUGAUUUGGAAAUUGCUUUGAACUCGCAUCUGCAUAUUAUAAAUUUCUUUUUGGAAUUAUACGACCCCGAGGUGGGCGUAAGUGACCGGGAUGUCUUCCCGAGCCAGAUGAGUUCAAUCCAUAAAAAAUAUUUAUUUUCAUGUUGUUUUUUUUGUUUCUGUUCGUUCAUGUUAAUUAGGUUUUGUAUAUUUUAGGAUAUUGAUUAGAAACAUGAAUUAGAUUUAGAUUCAUUGUGAAUUUGAUGAACUGAGUGAUGAUUAUUGACUUUUAAGUUCUAGAAUUGAGCUUUAAAACCCAGUGAUGGGCUUAUUUUACCAGGAUGUCUUCCUGACAUAUAAUAUACCACUCGGUGCAUUGAUUUCAUAUGAAUUUGACUUUAGUUUUUGAUUCAAACCAAUUUUCCUUGUUGAUUCUGUGAUUUCUUUUAUUUCUUUUGAUUGUAAUAUUUUCUGGUAGUUGAUUUGCAUAUAUGAUAGUUUGAUUUGGUACUGUUUUAAAUAUGUUUAAUUCAUUUAGUUGUUGAUUUCGGUUUUAAUGGAUAAUACUGGCAUGAUUGUUUCUUAUUACUUAUGUUUAGAUUGUACAGUGUAGGUUUCUAUCUUAGGUAGUUUAGCUUUCUAUUCUCUUUUAUUUUUCCUUUUUAGUUCAUAUUCUUCUUUCUUUCAAAUAGAAUUCAAUUCAGUUUUAAUUCUUGUAUUUUUAAUUUCAUUCUUUUAGUGUCCCCACCUUGUUUCAUAAUAAAUAAUUAGUAAAUAAAUACAAGAUUUAACCCUACACUUUAAUCUUAAUUUUGUCGAGUCCUAGGAUUGAUAUUCUGGUCAUCCCUAUGCUACAUUAGUGGGGACCAGUACUUGUUCUCUUUUUGUGCGACCAAAUAUGAGUUUAACAGCUAUGCUCAUUGAUAUUGUGCUUUCAUCUAUGACUUUUAAUGUGAACUUUCAUUACGCGGUUUCUCCAAGGUUUACUGGAAAUCAUGUCCUAAUAGGGUGUCGUGGACAAAACAAAAGCCGCAAAUAACAAAAUUGAAAAACAAAAAAUGGAGGCAAUCUUGAGUCGCUUGUCUUUCUUGCAAUUCAUCAAAGUCUUAUUUUUCAAAAAUAGAAAAAAAAAUGAUGAAAAAGAUGAUAAAAAAACAAAAGUUGUAAUGUCAGACUUUUCCGAGGUCAAAUGUCUAAAAAACAAUUUGACGUUUCCUUUUUAGACAUUUAUGCACAUGUUGCUUGAAAAACCUUCACCCUUCACCUUCCCAAAAUAAAGGAUCUUCCCCAUCAAACACUGUCGCUGCCCUUAGUAACAAAGUAAACCUUUACACUAGGGUAGAUUGGUCUAGCAAAAAUUUUCUCGCUUGCGCUAGUGGGAUGAUCCCUGAAUCCAUUGAGACAAACAAAAGAACAAAAGAAUUUUAAAAAACAAAAAAAAAGAAGAAGAAUAAGUCUGCUAGAUUGAAAACCCGAAAAGGCAGUCUAGAAUAGUGAAAGCAAAAGAAAAGAAAAAACGACUCAUGUUGAGGUCAUCUAGCCGCAGAGUUAAUCUUUUGAAAAUAAAGCAAUCAGAGUUCAAAAUGAUGUGUGGCCUUCUUGACUUUAUCUAAAAAGCAAAAAAAUAUAUAUAUCCAUUGUCACCCCAUUUGAGCCAAAAAUAAAUUCUUUUUCAAAAUCAUCCCCAAGCAAGGGUUGUCAUCAGGUAGGAGUCAACUCAUGAUGCAAAUGAAAAACACUCAAUGAUCAAACAAAGAAAAAUCAUCAAAAAAAGGUGAACAAAAAAAAACAAAAAGAAAUCACAAAGUGAUGUUGAACAAAGAAUGAAAAUCAAAGUUCAAGAAAAAAAAUAAAGUGUUCAAAAAGUCAAAUAGUUGAUCCAAUGUCUAGAUGAUAACCCUUGCUUCAAAAAAAUAUACCCGACAAACAUUCAUUUGGGCCUUUACACCUUUUCUUCUAAUACCUUUUAGCCCCUAGCCACGUUACAAGCCUAAUAAAGUCUAUACAGAUUGGAUAAAGUUUGCUCAAAUUUUCAUAAAGCUUAAUUUUGCGAUAAGGCGAAAUGACUUUCAAUGUGUCGUAAAAAAAAAGUUGAAAAUGAAUGGACGAAAAAAAAUGAAUGAAAAAAAAUGAAAAAAAAGUAAUGUCUCGGGAAGAGGGGACCUCCUUGUAAACUAGCCAUAAGCAUGCAAAAAGAAAAAUCAAACCAAUUGGCGGCCAUCCUUUUAGCCUAUCCUUUUCAUGCACAUUACCUCUGUCAAACAAAACCCUGUGCCAAAGAAAAGACUGGGGCAGCUUUGUUAGUCUCAUACAAAUUUUUCAUCAACCGAUGAUCCCAAGACUAGGGCAGAUUUGCAAGUUUCAUUUGAUUUGUUCACCCUAAUUUUCAUGGAUCCAUACCCCUAUGCUCAGUUUCCCAAACACUAAACUGGGGCAAAAUUUUUUGGUAUAUCGUGUUUUGUCUUGACACUCACAUAUUACAUCUCCGUCAAGGAGUGUAUGAGGAAUGAUGUGCCCACAUGGCUAUCCUAGUCUUCUCCAAACCCUCCUAAACAUCUCUCAUAUUUCACCUACCAAUUCAAGCAUGUGUACACUGAUGUCUCGAAAGAAAAAGUCAAAAUGCAAUAAUCUCAAAUUUAGAUCUCGAAUAUAUGACAUUACUCAGUCUUCACAAAACAUUGAAAAGACCAGUUUGAUGAUUGCAAGUAAGAUGACUGACUCAAGCAAAAAGAAAUGCAAAACAAAGCAAAUGUUUUUCAUCAAUCCAUCAAAAAGAAAAUCUUUCGGAUCGAAACCCUCUUCACUCAUAUGAAUGGUUAUCGAAUCCUUCUUCAAAAAUACAAAAAAAAAAUGAAAAUGACAUUCAAAUUUUCUCUUUCAAGUGAUGUUGUUUCUUAUCGAUUAUGUUUUUCUCUCAUAUUGGGGUUUUGACACAUCGUGAUCCUGCAUCAAGAUUUUGACACUUCGUCAUGAAGGGUUUUAACUCCUUGUUGCUUUUCAAAAAUCAAAUUUUUGUCGAAAAUCACCAAAACAUUUCACAAAAGUCCAGUUUCAUCUGGCAAUUUCAAAAUUUCAAAAGCCCAGUUUCAUCUAGCAAUUUCAAAAUUUUAAAAGCCAAGUUUCAUUUGGUAAUUUCAAAAUUUCAAAAGCCCAAUGUCAUCUGGCAAUUUCAAAAUUUCAAAAGCCCAGUUUCAUCUAUCAAUUUCAAAUUUUCAAAAGCCUAGUUUCAUUUGGCAAUUUCAAAAUUUCAAAAGCCCAGUUUCAUCUGGCAAUUUCAAAAUUUCAAAAGCCCAAUUUCAUCUGGCCAUUUCAAAAUUUCAAAAGCCCAGUCUCAUCUGGCAAUUUCAAAAUUUCAANNNNNNNNNNNNNNNNNNNNNNNNNNNNNNNNNNNNNNNNNNNNNNNNNNNNNNNNNNNNNNNNNNNNNNNNNNNNNGCCAUUUCAAAAUUUCAAAAGCCCAGUUUCAUCUGGCCAUUUCAAAAUAUCAAAAGCCCAGUCUCAUCUAGCAAUUUCAAAAUUUCAAAAGCCCAAUUUCAUCUAGCCAUUUCAGAAUUUCAAAAGCCCAGUUUUAUCUGGCAAUUUCAAAAUUUCAAAAGCCCAGUUUCAUCUGGCAAUUUCAAAAUUUGAAAAGCCCAGUUUCAUCUAGCAAUUUAAAUUUUUUAAAGCCCAGUCUCAUGUGGCAAUUUCAAAAUUUCAAAAGCCCAGUCUCAUCUGGCCAUUUCAAAAUUUCAAAAGCCCAGUUUUACCUGGCCCCCGAAGCCCAGUUUCUGGCCCACGAAGCCCAGCUCGCCUGGCCCAAAAGCCGAGUUUCCACACUUGCCCAUAAACCCAGCUUGCCUGGCCCCUAAGCCCGGUUUCACACUGGCCCCUAAGCCCAGUUUCACCUGCCCCUUAAGCCCAGCUUCGCCUGGCCCAUAAGCCCAGCUUUGUCUGGCCCCUAAGCCCAAUUUCACACUGGCCCCCAAAGCGCAGUUUCACAUUGACCCCUAAGCCCUGUUUCAACACUAGCCCAUAAGCCCAGCUUUGUCUGGCCCUUAAGCCUAGUUUCACACUGGCCCCUAAGCCUAGUUUCACCUGACCCAUAAGCCCAGCUUGCUUGGCCCCUAAGCCCCGUUUUCACAUUGACCCACAAAGCCCAGCUCCCCUGGCCCACAAAGCCCAGUUUCUACACUGGCCCCCAAGCCCAGUUUCUACACUGGCCCCCAAGCCCAGUUUCGCAGUAACCACAAACCAAGUCAGAUAAUCCAAGCUAGGUCCCCUUGCUCUGUUCAUCUUAAGAUAACAGCAAAGGAGUCCCCCCUUUGCUUUAGAGCGUUACGUUUGAGACUUCCCCCAAUCCGCAGGGUGCGUGAGUCGAAAUUGCGGCCCUUUGGUGGCAGUGGCUACAAUUACGAAGAGGAGAAAAGGGUUUUCCUUGCUGGUAACUCACAGUGGUUGUGACCUUUGGUGUUGGUGGCGUUGUGGCUUGCGUCUCAGGCGACUGGGCUCGCUCGAAGUGGAGCCUCUAGCCUAGUGCGAGGGAGAGAGAGGAAGAAGAUAUCGUGGCCGACCGUGAUUCUGGUGGCACCUACCGUCGACGGCGACGAUGCAACCGAAGAAGGUGGCGGCGCGGUGGUUGGAUUCGAAGAAGUGGUGGUGCGGUUGCGUAACCCUAGGCUAGUGCGAGAGAGCGGGUGGCUUGUGGCCGGCGAUAGUCGCCAGUGACACCUUGGACGGAGCAAAGGUGGCUCGUGGCUGUCACUCACGAAGGCUGGGUUGGUGAUCGUGGGGAUGGGGUGGCUUGUGCUCAGAGAGAAGAAGAGACCCUAGGUCUCGUGUGAUUUGAACAAGAAUGGGAUGAAGGGGGCAGACCCCUAAGGUUUCUGAAUGCGAAGAGCCAAACCCUGGGCUGCUGGGCCAAACCGAAGAACAAAAAACAGAUUUCUUUUCUAUACCCUUGUUUCCACUAAGUCACACUCCCACCCUCUUUGGGCUUAAGCCCCUUCGUUUUCUAAAAAAUAAUAACAAGAAAUCCUUUCUGCACCCCACUCCGUUUGGGCUUCCAUAUCCAUUUAACCUAUCAUUUUUGUUUGCUUCAUCAUUUUUAUGAUUAGUUUAUUUAUUUUUAUUCCUAUCUUUUAUUUUUAUUUUUAUGUUUAUUUUUUAUCUUUCUUUCUUUAUUUUUAUUUUGAUUUUUUUAUUAUUAUGUUUAUGUUAUUAUUUUUCGGGUUAAAUAUGUUUUUAGUCCCUAUACUUUGGGCGAUUUUGGUUUUAGUCCCUCUUUCAAACUAAGGUACAAUUUAGUCCUUCAACUUUAGAAAACUCUGGUUUUAGUCCUUUUUACCAAAUUGUUUGAACUUUAUUUGUUGUUUCAAGCACGUUUCAUUAUAGCAUUUGGAUUGUUUACACUGUUUGACACAUUUUUGCUUCAAUGCUAACUGAGAAACGCGUUUGAAACAGCAAAUAAAGUUAAAAAAAUUUGGUAAAAAGGACUAAAACCAGAGUUUUCUAAAGUUGAAGGACUAAAUUGUACCUUAGUUUGAAAGAGAUACUAAAACCAAAAUCGCCCCAAAGUAUAGGGACUAAAAACAUAUUUAACCCUAUUUUUUUUCUCGUUUUAAAUAUCUACCUACUUUUUAAUAUAUAAACAUUAUCAAAAAUCAUAAAAAUAUUAUUUUAAAAGGUUAAGGAACACAUGCGACAAUUCUGUCUGUCUUGUGCUGAAAACUUUUUUCUUCUUCUUCGUAAAAAAUAAACUAAUAAAAUUUAUUUUAAAAGGUUUAAGCAUACGUGCGACCGUUCUGUCAGCCUUGUGCUGAAAACAUUUUUCUUCUUCUUCUUUCAAAAAAUUAAUAAAAAAUUAUUUUAAAAGGUUUAAGCACAUGUGCGACCAUUCUGUCGGCCUUAUGCUGAAAACCUUUUUCCUCUUCUUUCAAAAACCACCAAAAAUUUAUUUUAAAAGGUUUUAGCACAUGUGCGACCAUUCUGUCGGCCUUGUGUUGAAAACCUUUUUCUUCUUCUUACAAAAAAUCAACAAAAAUUUAUUUUAAAAGGUUUAAGCACAGGUGCGACCAUUCCGUCUGCCUUAUGCUGAAAACCUUUUUCUUCUUCUUUCAAAAAUCAACAAAAAUUUAUUUUGAAAGGUUUAAGCACACGUGCGACCGUUCGCGUAGGCCUUGUGCUGAAAGUCUUUUCCUUUUUUCUAUAAAAAUACAAAAAAUAUAAAAUCUUCAAAAACUAAAAACAUCUUCGUUUACAAACAAACAAUCUCUCAACUAGAACUACGUAACCCUGAUUUCUCAGUGUGACUGAGAAUACGUAGGAGCAAGGUCAACCCUUGUUGGGCACAAAAAACAAAAAAAAAUAUUUUGUUUUCUUUAGAGUUUUAUUUUCUAGGGAAAAUUAAACAUUUUGCAAACCACAUCAAAUUCGCGUAUUUAAUUAAAGGUACUGCCUUAGAGCAAGCGUUGUGGGGGUGCUAACACCUUCCCCACACGUAACCGACUUCCGAAACCAGAAUUUGGUUUUGUAGACCUUGCCUUAUAAUUUUAUGGUUUUUCCAUAGUUUUCCAGAAUAAACUAUGGUAGCGACUCCAAAACUUUUUUUCAAAAUCGUUUCUUUUUUGGAUCGUCGUCCCGUCGCGAUACCGGUUGCGACAAUGAUUAUGAAAGGGGGUUAUGAUUUGUUAUUGUACCGAUUAUCCGCUGUCAUUAUAUUGAUUUUAGUGUUGAUCUUAGUUGUUUAUAGGAACCUGAUGAGACUAAGUUGUUGUUAUGAUAUGAGUGGACAUUGUAUAUGAUUUUGGGUAUUGAAUUUGGAAGAUAUCUGAUGUUGGAAAUGAAAUUUGUAGAGUUAGGACAUGAAUCCUUGAAGUUUGAGAGUAAUUUUGAUAUUUGUGAUGAUUAAGGAUGAAUUUCAAAUGUCUAGAAAGUCUGUAUGUUUAAAGGAAACAUCAAAAUAGACCAGGAAAUGAAUUUUCGUGAUUCUAGAAUGGUGAAUUCGCUUGAGCGAAUGAACCCACUCAUUGAAGCGAGUGAAGAACUCGUUGGAGCGAGCUACGCGGGGUAUAUUAAGUGUUUUUUAUGUUUUGGGGGUUCUUAAUGUCUGUUUUGGAUGUUCUUUAGGUCGUUCUUGGGGUUUUUGACCCUUUCGGAGCCAAUGGUGAAGGUUUCCAAGGAUUUUGACUUAACUAAAUAAGGAUAUCAAAAUGUCAUAAAGAAAUCUGUGUUGAUAUGUGAUAUUUUUAUGUGAUAAUAUGCCAUGUAUGAGUAUGAGUGAGUUAUUUUUUUGAGAUGUGGUUAAUGAUUGCGAUAUAUUGUAUGUUGACAUGUGUAUUUAUGAAUGGAAAGAGUGAAAAAGAGUUCAAAGGAGGAACUUUUUAUUGCUUGUAUGUCAAGUGUUGUAUGUAUGAAUGUAGGAGCUUCGACUUAGGGGUUCAUUAUGACGCUCUCAAUAGUCUCAAUCUCACAUAGAGAAAGAGCUAUGUGGAGGAGAGUGAGAAAUCCUUAUCCGAAGAUCAGUAUUGGGAUAAAGUAGGAAAGGACAUAGCUCUAGUGGUCGCUUGGAUUGAGCUAACAGGUACCAGUACGAGUAUAGAACCCGCUAAGAGUUCAACAUUCAUACGAUUAUCGAGAUGAGUCAAGUCCAUGAUGAUUAUGAUAUAUAUAUAUAUAUAUAUAUAUAUAUAUAUAUAUAUAUAUAUAUAUUGCAUGAUUGAGUUAUUUGACUAGUAAGUUUGGAAUUAUGUUAUUGUUUUAAAUUUACCAUGAUUGUUUUCUUUUGCAUUAGUUCACCCUUGCUUUGUCUGUUGUCUGGUUGUAUCUGUAUCAUGUUUCUCUUGGCGAUGAUCAUCCGGUGGGUGUGAGCAGAAGGUGAUGAGAUACUAGUGGAACAUGCUUUAGAUGAUAGAGCGACCGAUGUUUAGUUCUCUAUGGACAAGAUUUAUAUUUUUGUUUCUAUUUUAAGUAGGACUGUAUUAAGUUUAAAAUUUUAGUGUAGUUUGUAUAAUUAUGAGGAAGACUUUUAUUCCUCCUUUCGUCAACUGUUCUAUUGUAUCAAUGAUGUAAGAACUCUAUUAUAGUUUAACGUUUAUAAUUAUUGGGAUGUUACAAUAGGAAUUUACAAAAAAAUUCAGAGAAAUAAAAUGAAUAGAGCUAGAUACGCUUUAUAUUUAAAUUAUGUUAAAAUGGAAACCCUAACCAUGAGAAAAAAGAAAAAGAAAAUCUUAGAGCCAUCAAAAUGGGUCACAACCCAUGAGCCAACCCGACUCACCACGGGUUCGGGCCGGGUUGGGUUUGAAAAAAUUGAAUUUUUUUUAUGCGGGUCAGAUUUCAACCCGGCUCAUUUAAACCCGGCUCAUACGGGUUGAACCCGUGGUGGGCCGGGUUGGCCCGCCAAUCCACCUACCUAAUUUUAUUUUUUAAUUUAUUAUUUUAUUUAUGAAACCCUAAAAAAUAAAAUACUCUCUUCACUCACUGUGUAUACCAAAAAAGUAACCUUUGUUCUCACAAAUCACUCUCACGGAACUUGCUCUCAUUUAUCGUGCUGUCACUCUCACUUCUUCACUGAAAUUCUUCAAGGAGUAGGUUUUUUGUAUGUUUUUUGUGUUUGUUUUUGGAUGACAUUUGGAUUAUAUUGUACUUUUUAUUAUUACUUUGAAUCGUUUUCAGUUUAACAUCAUUUUUUGGGAGUGAAAUUUGUUUAAAUUUGAAUAUAGAAAGUUUGUAAUUUUUUUAUUUAAAAAAAUUGUAAUUAAAUGGGCUAGUGAGCUAACCCGUUUACCCACCAACCCGUGGUGGAUCGAGCCGGGUUCAGGUUUUUCUGCCUCGCUAAUAAAUGAGCCGGGUUGGGUUGGCUCACUAAGUGACCAACCCGUGGUGGACCGGGUCGGGUCGAGCCGGAUUACCUGUUUUGACAGCUCUAGAAAAUCUUAUAAUAGUCAUGAGAGGAAAACAUUAUUUUUCUAUUAAGAGAGAAGCCUAGGAACUAAGGUAUUAGAAAGGCUUAAAAAAUCUAAAAUUAUUUCGUAAAUUAGAGGUAAGGAGAGUUAUCCCCGUUGAUUAUUUGUAUGAUGUCAUUUUUGUAAUUUUGUAAGUUAAUUGGUGUUGAGUGGUUGCUAUUUUUUUUGUUCCUAUUGUUCACGUUUGGGAAGGGAAUUAGACACUAGUAGAAUCAUGUCUGGAUGUUGAGGCAUGUUUUUUAUUUAUAUUUUUCUUCUUAUAUGAUGGCAUUGGUACAUGAUGAAAACCGCAACCUAAUUUUGACGUGUAUAAUUUAUUUGUUGUUGAGCGAGGCCUACAUGCAAUAAAUACAAGAAAAGACAAAAAAAAGAAAGAGAUGAAACUCAACUUACUCAAAUAGAGAAGCUGAUAGGUCCAAAUUGAAGAGUUUGCUAUCAGAAUCAAUCCUACCGUCUUGGUUCUUCAAUCAGACAAAUAAAAUAUGAGAAUUCUUAAUAAAAAGUCAUAAAACUCUAGAAAAGUAGUUUAUAGAGAGAUAAUUUGUUUUAAAAUAAUUAAACUUAUUUAUAACGAAACUAUUUAUAUUAAAAUCAUUGAAUAUUAAAAUAAUCGAGUUUCAGUAUCUUUAAACAACUAUCAUUUGUAAAAUGCAAAUUUAUAACAUAAUCGUGUAUUGUCUCUAAGUCAAUUUCAUUUAAACAUAUUUAUUUGUAAAAUAAUAGAAUAAAAUCACAUUGCAGGAGCAUACAGCUUGAGAUAAUCUACUGUUCUCAUGUGUAUUGAUAUAAUAUUUUCUCGGAUCACGAUUAUUCUCAAAAUAAAAAUUCUUCCACCAGUAACUUUAUUAGUACAUUAAUCUAAAAUAAUUAGUAAGUAAGAAGUAGAUCAAUCAUUGAGACUCGUCUACCAUGUGUCCACGUGGAAAUAUUAGAGUAUACACAUGGAUCUCUCUUAUAUAUAGCUUACACCUCCACGUUCUACAUGCAUUUCUCAAGGUCAAACACACAAAUUAUAAAAUCCGUGUGGGGAUUUUUAUUUUAUUUUUUAUGUCGUUUUAAAUACAAAAUUAUAUUAUAAAACGAAAUCUGAGUAGAAUUUCAACUCAUAUCUGCACAACGUGAAGUCAAUAUAGGGAACCGGUCGGUAGCUGUAGCUGGGAUCCUCGAUCAUGCAUGCAUUCUUUUAAUAUAUGCAUGUUGGACGUGUAUAUACCUAACUUUCUUUUCUAUCUAUUAUUGUAUCAACAAAUCAAAUAAUGUUUACUCUUUUUAUUUAUAAUUUUUCUUUGAAUUCCAUCUCACACACUCUACUUUCACGUCUACCUUUAUCCUAUAUUAAAUUCACUAAAUUCAUGGUUAAGCUCAAAUGUAAAACCAACCCCAAAUUUCAUAUGGGGAUACAUAUAUAAAAUAAAACAUUAAAAUUAUUUUUUAUGUAUAUUCAAAAUAAUGUAUAGACACUCUUUUGUAUUAUUUUAAAAUAGUUAGCUUUAAAUUUUACAUUGAUUACCACUAAAUAAAUAGACUACGUUUACUAUAUAUAUAUCUCGUGUCAUGUAUAAAUAGUUAUAAACUCUUUUAGUUAAAUAUGUUUUUAGCUUUUCUAAAUUAUAAUUUGUUUCUGUUCCAAAUUUUAAAUUUCAAUAUAUUUUGAUUUUUAAACUUUAAAAAUGAAUAGAUAUAGUUAUUUUAAAUUAAUGAGGUUAAUUUUUUAACAUGUUGAAUGUGUUUUAUUCUUAUAUUUGAGUUAUUUAUUUCAUUUGACAUAUUCUAACUUUCAUAUUAAUUGAAAAACAUGUUUGACACGAAGAAAAAUUUAACAUAAUUGAAUUAAAAUAAUUAGAUUUAUUUAUUUUUAAAGUUUAUAGAUUAAAAUGUAUCAAAUUUACAAACAGAAAGGAAACAAAAAAGACUUCUAAUUUUGUCUUAAAGUUUAGAGACGAAAAAUAUAUUAUAGGUAUCCUAAACUUUUUAGCAUGAGUUAAUUUAUCAUAGUUUUUUAAUUUUAAAAUAUAAUUUUUUUUUUAUUAUUAAAGAAGGUAUAUUAUUGAAAUACAUUUAUUUUUUAUAAUAUUAUUUUACACUACUAGGUUUUAUAUUUUAUCUUUUAUGACUAUUGCUUAUCUUUGGGUGUCUUUUUUUAUUUACUUUAGAGUGGCAUUAAAAUAAAAUUUACAUUUUAUAUUAUAAAUGAUAGCUUAAAUAAAUUCAUUAUUAUUUAAAAAAAUGUAUAUCAUAUUCUAAAUUUAAAACGUCAUAGCCUUUAUAUUAAUGAUAUGAUAAUGGAUUGAAUAUUAAAGAUAAAGCCGAUGGUAUAUAAAAAUUGUUAAAUAUAAAUUCUACAGUAUUUUAUGUGAUUGUGAUAUUGUAAGCUCUUAACACUUAAAUUAAAGAUUAUUUUGGAGUAUUACAACGUAGCGUGCGGAUUAUAUUAUAAAAUCAUAUUUACGAAAAGACCCCAAAAUCAAUUUCGAGAUUGUUUUCUGCCAGCUAGCUACUUUGAACAACCAUUUGCCCCGCCAUUUUUUCUUCACUUUGUUUUUUUGUCCAUCUUACCAUUUUCAGGCCUUUAUAAAUAGACAUGCAUGAGAAUCAAAGCCAUCAAUCAAUCAAUAGCAGAAGCAAAGCUUCACAAGCAAAGCUUCAAACAUGGCUCUGUUGUAUUUUGCUUUGCUCAUUCUCUUCUUUCUCUUUUCUCUUAAGCUUUUCUUCCAAACAAGAAGAUUUAGAAACCUUCCUCCAGGCCCAAUUUCUUUCCCUAUAAUCGGAAACCUCUCCCAACUCAAACAGCCUUACCACCGCACAUUCGCUCAAAUGUCGCAAAAAUACGGCCCAGUCUUCUCUCUCUGGUUCGGUUCCCGACUCGUUGUCGUCCUUACUUCACAAUCCGCCGUGCAAGAAUGCUUCGCCAAAAACGACAUCGUCUUGGCCAACCGACCUCACUUUCUCUUUGGCAAAUACAUCAGCUACAAUAACAGCACCAUCCUUCACUCCUCCUACGGCGACCACUGGCGCCACCUCCGCCGCAUCUUGUCGCUGGAGGUUGUCUCAACGAACCGUUUAAACUCCUUCUACGAGGUCCGAAGGGACGAAAUCAUGAGGCUGGUGCAAAAGCUCGCUAACCUCUCAUCAAACCACUUCACCAAAGUGGAUCUAAAAACCAUGUGAGUUUUCAUCAAGUCAAACAAACUUUNNNNNNNNNNNNNNNNNNNNNNNNNNNNNNNNNNNNNNNNNNNNNNNNNNNNNNNNNNNNNNNNNNNNNNNNNNNAGUGUCUUCAGAAAGUGUAAACUGCUAUUCUUAUAACACUAACUACUAUAUAAAAAUGUUUUUUAUUAUUAAUAUAAUUUUAAGUAAAUUAUAUUAUUGGUCAUGAUUGAAGUUUGCUGAAGUUACACAAAUAUUUUCUGGUGUUUUUAAUACUUAGUAAUCUCACUUGUAAAUAAUACACAAUAUAAUUAUUUCAGAUACAUAAAUGAGGUAUUGUAAUGUGAAAAAUGUGCUUUUAUGAUGUUUCUAAACCAUUGAAGGGUGCUCCAUGCAAAGACAAUAAAAGGAAGUAAGGUAAACAUAGAAUAAAUAAAUAAAUGAGAGAUGGUUAUACAGUUGACAGAACUAAAAAAAACAUGAUAAAACUAAAUAAAACAUGUUUUAUAUUUUUUACAAUUUCUAAUGCUAUAAUAUCUUGUAAUUAAGGUUUAUGGAGACAUCAUUUAACACUAUGAUGAGAAUUGUGUCCGGAAAAAGACUCUUUGGUGAUGACUGUGAUGUGAACGAUGUCGAGAAAGCAAAAGAAUUCAAAGAAAUAAUCAAAGAGUUAGUGAUAUUAGCAGGAGUCAAUAACCGUGGAGACUUCUUGCCUUUCGUGAGAUGGUUUGAUUUUGAUAAUUUGGAGAAAAAGCUAAAAGGAAUUGGUAAGAGAACUGAUGCAUUCNUACAAGAACUCAUCGAAGAGCAUCGUAAUGGAAAAAACAAUGGAAAUACUAUGAUAGAUCAUCUCCUUGCUUUACAACGAUCACAACCUGAACAAUAUACCGACCAAAUCAUCAAAGGACUUUCUCUGGUAAUUAAUCAUUUAUUUAAAUAUGGUGUUUCUCAUUUUUAUGUGUAAAUCACUAUUUUGUUUUUGAAAGUGAUAAAAAUUAACAUGAUGAACAUAGUUAUUCAAAUAAUUACUAGAAAUAUGUGAAUAUUCAAUAUAUAUGUCAAUCAUCAUCACUUAAUCUAAAGUGUAAAUUUAAAUGAUAACUUUAAUACCUUUAUGAGUAUUAAAAAAAACCUUUGUUUAGAUUCAAAAUAAAAAGAAUAAAUUUUUUGGUUAUCUAGUUAUUAAUUUUAAACAAACUAAGAAUGAUCUUUUUCCCUUUUGUUUGUGCAUUAAUACUUCUUUUAUUGAUUUUACAGAGUUUACUACUUGCCGGAACAGAUACAUCAGCUUUAACUUUAGAAUGGACAAUGGCUAAUUUAUUGAAUCAUCCAGAAGUUAUAGAGAAGGCAAAAAAGGAAAUAGAGACUCAUGUAGGAUCAAAUCGUCUUGUAGAGGAAUCUGACAUGUCAAAACUUCCUUACAUUCAAUGCAUUGUUUAUGAGACACUUCGAUUGCAUCCUGCUGCUCCAAUUUGGUCACCACAUUUGUCUUCAAAAGAUUGUAUCGUAGGAAAAUAUAAUCUCCCAAAAGACACAAUUGUGUUGGUGAAUGCAUGGGCUGCUCAUAUGGAUCCAAAAAUGUGGAGUGAGCCAACACACUUUAAGCCUGAAAGGUUUGAGAACGAAAGUGAAGUAAAUAGGUUACUUUCAUUUGGGUUAGGGCGGAGGGCUUGCCCUGGAUCAAACUUGGCUCAACGUACAGUUGGUUUAUCGAUAGCCUUAUUACUUCAAUGUUUUGAGUGGAAACGAAUUGGUAAGGAAGAAAUUGAUAUGUCUGAAGCAAAUGGAAUUACUAUCUCAAGAAAAAAUCCAUUGGAAGCUAUGUGCCAACUCCGUCAAUCACCAACAGUUAAGAACAUGUACUGAUUUAUGACGUUAUUUAAAUAAUAAACGUAUUCGUAAUUUAUGAAGAAUAAAUAUGUAUGCAAUAAGCAUUAUUUAAUCAUUUUGUAGGGGUUGAAGUGAAUGUAUCUCCAUUGUAUGUGAUAUCUUUUAAGUUCUACUUUUACCAUAAAUUAGUAC
rnacentral:lncRNA from 1 species